rnacentral:rRNA from 1 species
AACCAGACUCCUACGGGAGGCAGCAGUGAGGAAUAUUGGUCAAUGGGCGGAAGCCUGAACCAGCCAAGUCGCGUGAGGGACUAAGGCCCUGCGGGUCGUAAACCUCUUUUGCCGGGGAGCAGUGGUCCGGACGCGUCCGGACCGGGAGAGUACCCGGAGAAAAAGCAUCGGCUAACUCCGUGCCAGCAGCCGCGGUAAUACGGAGGAUGCGAGCGUUAAUCGGAAUUACUGGGCGUAAAGGGUGUGCAGGCGGCUGAGUAAGACAGAUGUGAAAUCCCCGGGCUUAACCUGGGAACCGCAUAUGUGACUGCUUGGCUAGAGUGCGUCAGAGGGAGGUGGAAUUCCACGUGUAGCAGUGAAAUGCGUAGAUAUGUGGAAGAACACCGAUGGCGAAGGCAGCCUCCUGGGACGCAACUGACGCUCAUACACGAAAGCGUGGGGAGCAAACAGGAUUAGAUACCCGGGUA